CCCCCCCCGCUCCCCGCCCCCCAAGCCUUAGUGAGAUUGACAGUCGCGUGGAGGAGGCUUUUCCAGGCACAGCCUUUCUCAUGGUAAUCAGCCCCCGGCAUCACCUCCCGGCCGCGGCUGCGCCCGCUCGGAGCGCGGCUCGCGGACCCCGGGGACCGGAAACAGGGCGGCGGGCGGGGAGCAGGCGAGCGAGCCAGGCUCAACUCCGAAUGGAUUGGAUUGCGAGUCUGCACGUGAGAAAACCGUUUGGCUUGGCUUGGACCCCUGCCGCCCCCCACCUCCUCCACACACACCCAGUCCAGGGGUCCCCUUUAUCACCCUUUGCUUGCAACUCCAAAAGAAGUUGCCCACCUCCUGAGUCACAACACAAGGUCGAAUAAUUCCUCUAGAUGAAAGAUCAGUUUCAUUUCAAAACGAGAAUAGGUUCCUUUUUUUAUUUUCU
rnacentral:lncRNA from 1 species